rnacentral:lncRNA from 1 species
AAUUUUCAGCAAAAUUGGCCCAAAAAGGGGGCCCAAAUUCAUUUCUCCUUUACCUUUAAUUUAUUUAAUUGAUUUUAUUUAUUGUUUGUUUUUUUUUAUCAUUAACUCUAACUUUAGAAUUGUUAAUUAGCUUAAUUAAAUUCCCCAUAAGAAGAGUUAUAUUCUUUGUGUUGGUUUAAUUUUUAACACAUUUCAUGUUUUGUGUUCA